GACGAACGCUGGCGGCGUGCUUAACACAUGCAAGUCGAACGAUGAAGCGCUGUCUUUUUGGUGGUGUGGAUUAGUGGCGAACGGGUGAGUAAUACGCGGGCAACCUGCCCCUCUGCUUCGGGAUAAGCUUUGGAAACGGGGUCUAAUACCGGAUGUGCCUGUCUGGUCGCAUGGCUGGGCGGGGAAAGAUGUUUUUCGGCGGGGGAUGGGCUCGCGGCCUAUCAGCUUGUUGGUGGGGUGACGGCCUACCAAGGCGUCGACGGGUAGCCGGCCUGAGAGGGUGGUCGGCCACACUAGGACUGAGAUACGGCCCAGACUCCUACGGGAGGCAGCAGUGGGGGAUAUUGCACAAUGGGCGCAAGCCUGAUGCAGCGACGCCGCGUGGGGGAUGGAGGCUUUCGGGUUGUAAACCCCUUUCGGCGCGGGACAAGGCUCCGUUUGGCGGGGUUGAGGGUACGCGUCAAAGAAGCGCCGGCUAACUACGUGCCAGCAGCCGCGGUAAUACGUAGGGGGCAAGCGUUAUCCGGAUUCAUUGGGCGUAAAGCGCUCGUAGGCGGUCUGUUAGGUCGGGAGUUAAAUCCGGAGGCUCAACCUCCGCCCGCUCCCGAUACCGGCAGACUUGAGUUUGGUAGGGGAAGGUGGAAUUCCUAGUGUAGCGGUGGAAUGCGCAGAUAUUAGGAAGAACACCAGUGGCGAAGGCGGCCUUCUGGGCCAUAACUGACGCUGAGGAGCGAAAGCUAGGGGAGCAAACAGG
rnacentral:rRNA from 1 species